rnacentral:rRNA from 1 species
CUUUCAACAACGGAUCUCUUGGUUCUGGCGUCGAUGAAGAACGCAGCGAAAUGCGAAAAGUAAUGUGAAUUGCAGAUCAGUGAAUCAUCGAAUCUUUGAACGCACAUUGCACCAUCUGGUAUUCCGGAUGGUAUGCUUGUUCGAGCGUC